AUGGAGCUGAACAUAUGGCUGCCCGGAGAGGGGCCCCAGGAGUGGAAUCAGAAGGAGGAGAAGUCUCUGGUGAAGAGAGCAGUGAGGUCUCUCAGUCCUGAGAAGCCAAAGAGAGAAGGUGGAAAAAGACUUUCUUCUGAGGGUUAUCCACUUUUCCUGCUGGUGACUGGAAAUCUUUCCCCCCAACACUUCCCAACUGAAGGGACUUUUGAAGAGCAAACCUGAGCCAACUUUACCUCAGCUCUUGUUGCCCAGGGGAAUAAUAAAAUCAAGGAAUUCCAUGGGGACUGGAACA
rnacentral:lncRNA from 1 species